rnacentral:rRNA from 1 species
AUACGGAGGAUGCGAGCGUUAUCCGGAUUUAUUGGGUUUAAAGGGAGCGUAGGCGGGAGCUUAAGUCAGCGGUUAAAUGGUGCGGCUCAACCGUGCCCUGCCGUUGAAACUGGGUUUCUUGAGAGUGCAAGAGGCGGAUGGAAUUCAUGGUGUAGCGGUGAAAUGCUUAGAUAUCAUGAAGAACUCCGAUUGCGAAGGCAGUCCGCUGGGGCACGUCUGACGCUGAUGCUCGAAGGUGCGGGAAUCAAACAGGAUUAGAUACCCUGGUAGUCCGCACGGUAAACGAUGAUUACCCGCUGUCGGCGGUAGACAGUCGGCGGCCAAGCGAAAGCGAUAAGUAAUCCACCUGGGGAGUACGCCGGCAACGGUGAAACUCAAAGGAAUUGACGGG